GUCCCAAGGGUUGGGCUGUUCGCCCAUUAAAGCGGUACGCGAGCUGGGUUCAGAACGUCGUGAGACAGUUCGGUCCCUAUCCGUCGUGGGCGUAGGAAAUUUGAGAGGAGCUGUCCUUAGUACGAGAGGACCGGGAUGGACAUACCUCUGGUGUACCAGUUGUCGUGCCAACGGCAUAGCUGGGUAGCUAUGUGUGGACGGGAUAAGUGCUGAAAGCAUCUAAGCAUGAAGCCCCCCUCAAGAUGAGAUUUCCCAACUUCGGUUAUAAGAUCCCUCAAAGAUGAUGAGGUUAAUAGGUUCGAGGUGGAAGCAUGGUGACAUGUGGAGCUGACGAAUACUAAUCGAUCGAAGACUUAAUCAAAA
rnacentral:rRNA from 1 species